UCACCUGCGGGGACCGAGACUGAGUUUGCGGCGCGCGCGGCUUAGGGGAGCAUGUGUGUGAGAGAGGUUGGGAGGGGAACCUGCAGAAUGAAUAUCCCGGGGGGCGCAGGCCCGCUCUGGCCGGGACCUGCAGUACAGACACAAAGCAAAGGCGGGUCACUAAUGCGCAGACGCCAAGCAUCUUCCUUGUCAUGGCCAGACUGCAGCGGCUGGGCGAGGGGCCUGGUGAAGGUUGACUGAUGCCCAUAGCCAUCUGACUGCCAGUUAAUACCGUGGUGGUGAUUCGACUGAAUAAUCGCUGCCCUCGGACAGAGCGUUUCACUCGACUUAGAUACAAUGAUUAAUUAUACUCUAAUAAACCAGUAGAACUGCA